UACGUAGGGUGCAAGCGUUGUCCGGAAUUAUUGGGCGUAAAGAGCUCGUAGGCGGCUUGUCACGUCGACUGUGAAAACCCGGGGCUCAACUCCGGGCCUGCAGUCGAUACGGGCUGGCUUGAGUGCGGUAGGGGAGACUGGAAUUCCUGGUGUAGCGGUGAAAUGCGCAGAUAUCAGGAGGAACACCGGUGGCGAAGGCGGGUCUCUGGGCCUGACCUGACGCUGAGGAGCGAAAGCGUGGGGAGCGAACAGG
rnacentral:rRNA from 1 species